AUUGAACGCUGGCGGCAGGCCUAACACAUGCAAGUCGAGCGGAUGACAGGAGCUUGCUCCUGGAUUCAGCGGCGGACGGGUGAGUAAUGCCUAGGAAUCUGCCUGGUAGUGGGGGACAACGUUUCGAAAGGAACGCUAAUACCGCAUACGUCCUACGGGAGAAAGCAGGGGACCUUCGGGCCUUGCGCUAGCAGAUGAGCCUAGGUCGGAUUAGCUAGUUGGUGAGGUAAUGGCUCACAAAGGCGACGAUCCGUAACUGGUCUGAGAGGAUGAUCAGUCACACUGGAACUGAGACACGGUCCAGACUCCUACGGGAGGCAGCAGUGGGGAAUAUUGGACAAUGGGCGAGAGCCUGAUCCAGCCAUGCCGCGUGUGUGAAGAAGGUCUUCGGAUUGUAAAGCACUUUAAGUUGGGAGGAAGGGUUGUAGAUUAAUACUCUGCAAUUUUGACGUUACCGACAGAAUAAGCACCGGCUAACUCUGUGCCAGCCGCCGCCGUAAUAC
rnacentral:rRNA from 1 species